UACGUAGGUGGCAAGCGUUGUCCGGAUUUACUGGGUGUAAAGGGCGUGCAGCCGGGGAUGCAAGUCAGAUGUGAAAUCCACAGGCUUAACUUGUGAACUGCAUUUGAAACUGCGUUUCUUGAGUGCUGGAGAGGUAAUCGGAAUUCCUUGUGUAGCGGUGAAAUGCGUAGAUAUAAGGAAGAACACCAGUGGCGAAGGCGGAUUACUGGACAGUAACUGACGGUGAGGCGCGAAAGCGUGGGGAG
rnacentral:rRNA from 1 species